UCCUCGAUAGCUCAAAGGCAAGAGCAUCGGAUUUGUAAUUCGGAUGCUACGGGUUCGAGUCCCGCUCGAGGAG